rnacentral:rRNA from 1 species
CCUACGGGAGGCAGCAGUGGGGAAUAUUGCACAAUGGGGGAAACCCUGAUGCAGCGACGCCGCGUGAGUGAAGAAGUAUUUCGGUAUGUAAAGCUCUAUCAGCAGGGAAGAAAAUGACGGUACCUGACUAAGAAGCCCCGGCUAACUACGUGCCAGCAGCCGCGGUAAUACGUAGGGGGCAAGCGUUCUCCGGAUUUACUGGGUGUAAAGGGAGCGUAGACGGCCAGACAAGUCAGAAGUGAAAGCCCAGGGCUCAACCCUGGGACUGCAUGUGAAACUGUUUCCCUUGAGUGUCGGAGAGGUAAUCGGAAUUCCUUGUGUAGCGGUGAAAUGCGUAGAUAUAAGGAAGAACACCAGUGGCGAAGGCGGAUUACUGGACGAUAACUGACGGUGAGGCGCGAAAGCGUGGGGAGCAAACAGGAUUAGAUACCCGUGUAGUC